rnacentral:rRNA from 1 species
AUUGAACGCUGGCGGCAGGCCUAACACAUGCAAGUCUAACGAGUGGCGGACGGGUGAGUAAUGUCUGGGAAACUGCCCGAUGGAGGGGGAUAACUACUGGAAACGGUAGCUAAUACCGCAUACCAUCGGAUGUGCACAGAUGGGAUUAGCUAGUAGGUGGGGUAAUGGCUCACCUAGGCGAUGAUCCCUAGCUGGUCUGAGAGGAUGACCAGCGACAAUGGAACUGAGACACGGUCCAGAGUACAUAGGGAGGCAGCAGUGGGGAAGAUGGCACAAUGGGCGCAAGACUGAUGCAGCCAUGCCGCGUGUAUGAAGAAGGCCUUCGGGUUGUAAAGUACUUUCAGCGAGGAGACGUUACUCGCAGAAGAAGCACCGGCUAACUCCGUGCCAGCAGCCGCGGUAAUAC